UUUCCGUAGGUGAACCUGCGGAAGGAUCAUUAUUGGAUUUUGAAACUUCAGGCUGCUGCUGGCUCUCCUCGGAGGGCAUGUGCACGCUUGUUGUCCAUUAUUUCUCCCACUGUGCACAAAUUGUAGACCUUUCAGUAGGCCUAUGUUGUUUUUCACAAUCUCUGAAUGUAAUAGAAUGGUUUAGAAUCUUGGGAAAUACAAUACAACUUUCAGCAACGGAUCUCUUGGCUCUCGCAUCGAUGAAAAACGCAGC
rnacentral:misc_RNA from 1 species